UCCAGUCAUUUGGUUUGCCUCCAGCAUCACCUUUUUUAUUUUACAUUUUUUGUAAUUAUCUCUCUGCCUUAUUUAAUCAGAUUAUACAUCAUCCCUUGUUAUUCAGCUGUUAACACUUUACUCACACCAUCUAAUACUUCUGGUCACUUGCAGAAACAUACUGAUCAACACUCCACUCACACAAUUUGUAUAAUCUUUUGAUCUCUUUGCUCUUGAUCUCUCUGCCCAUAAAUUUUGUUAUGCGUGCUUCCCUCUCACUUCACCUGAUGAGAGGGCUACACUCUGAAAGCUUGUGAUUUCAGAUAAACCUGUUGGACUAUAACCUGGUGUUGUUUGAUUUCUGACUUUUUGUAAAAGAACAAAGCAUGAAUGGUUUGGGAAAGAAAUUAGAGCUUGUGGCCCAUACAUUUUGACUGCAUAGCUACCAACGCUGGAGCAUUUAAAAUCAGGAAUUCUCCAGAGACCAGAAUUAGAAUACAAAUUUUGCAUAUAUUUUGAAAGACUGAAUUAUGCUAUUGAAACAUCAUUAUCUGUUCUUCAGGCAGCACCACAAGAAACAGAAAAUUGAUCAUAUUCAUUUUUUGUAGAUAUUGCAGCUGUGCUUACCUACAUGGCAGCAAUGCUUUUAUAAGUAAUUUAAUACUGAAAAGUAAUACACUUUAUGGCAGUCUUUCAUCUUAUACUUGUCAGGACAGGCCUCAAGAAUACCGGUUUAAGGGAAAAGCCAACAGUUUAAAACUGAGCCCACUGGUUAACUAAGCAAGUGGACUUUGGUAGAGAUUUUGCCUUGGCACUAAUCAUUGAUGUCUGGCAGUUAACGGCCAGGCUUUGUUUAAAGUUUAAACCCAGAUAAGUCGAUUCAUCAAAUCAUUUCUUAUGAACGAACCAAUGAAUGGCUGUCACUGAUUUUUGUUGAGUGGAAAUGCACAGCCAUCUUCUUUUUUACAUGCAAGUAUGCCACAUUGCAGUCCUCAUUGACAAUGCUAAAUUGGUUUUCAGUACUGUAUAGUGUUUUGCAUACUCAGGAUUGUUAAGGGCAUGUACACACAUUGCUCCUGUUUCAGCUCCACAAAAUAGAUAGUUCAUUUUCUCAGGGCAAUGACAAUAAAUUACCUGAUUUGAAAUUUUAAACAAAACCUUGCUCUUGACUAUCAAUCAUUAACUGGUGAUAAUGAUUAACUUAAUUAACUUUGCCAUGUAAAGUCCAGUCUCAAUUAACUUUCCAGCUAUCAUGAUUCCCUAGGUAGUGUACUGGAAAUCAAGUUCAACUCUUCCCAAAAACAUCACAAAAGUCUUUUUAAAAAUAUACAAAUUUCCCCAAACGUCCUCCUGAUUUUUCAGUGUCGGGUUGAUAGAAAGCAUUGAACAUAUUCUGUACUUGAGAAAUUGCUUUUUACCUGCAGCUAGAAUCUAAUGAAUUGUAGUAAACUAAGUUAAGUAAACUCUACAAAUUAAGACUCCCAAACCCUGACAAAGACACACUGGCAGGCAAACCUAAACAGGAAAAAAAACACAUUGGCUGAGGGAAAACUAGAAAAUCAGACCCGUAGUGUCUGUAGAAACAAGAUCUGUUGUGUUGGUUCUUGAUGAUCUGUAGAGUUCCCCUUGACUUUCUUUGAUUACACUGGUUUGCAAAAGGCUCAGAGGGGCUCUUUGAUUCAUGAUGAGUCUAUGCCCUAUUCAGUUCAAAGGCACAAUUUGCAGCAUCUAUUGAAGGAAAGAUGAGUUCAUUUUCUUCAGAUUCAAACUGACUUACUGCAAAAACUGGGAGCUAGAUUUUUUCAGAGUUGCCUCCUCUCCUGUUCACAGCCCAGCCUGUUUAGCAACCUGACAACUAAUCACGCAGUUGUUGAUAGGCAGAGGAUCUUUGUCGUUGGUUUGCUUCAUUCGUAUGGACUUGAAUGUCAUCUAGCCUUGCCAGUCCUUUGGUUUAUCUUAAAUGUGUGCCUCCAAUAUUGUUUCUUUUCAGGCCCUCUAAAUUGCUCAUUUCCAGUUGGGAUCAACAUGGUUCACAUAUUAGUAAACAUAUCUCUUCUGUUACUGUCAUGCUAUCUCUGAGUUUCUGCUAUUAUAUUAUGCAAACUUCUAAUAACUCUGAAAUACUAAGUUUUUGAAAGUUCUGGUCUAAUGCCAUUUUUAAGCAAAAUUUUAAACUCUUUAUAUUGAGUGAAGUUUUUUUUUGGAACAAUUGCAAGCACAUUUUGAGAAGUUUUUCUGUGUGAUGUAGAUUCUAUAAAUGAUCUCAAUCUUGGAGAGAUUACCAACCAGCUUGGGGGUGAAGAUUGUCUCAUGACAGUCAUUCCAAAUGAUGGGAAUGCUUGCACAUCAUGCAACGUUUCCUGUUCUCCUGCAACAGGCAGAAGAUCUAAUUGCAGUGACUCUGGUAAGUACUGUGGUGACUGUAAAAAGGAUCAAUGAAUUUCUUGAAUCACCAGAUCUAUGCAGAGUUAGCUGACCUCCCUGUGAUGUUGCUGAGGAAUCACAGAUGAAGGGCUUUUGCCCGAAAUGUCGAUUUUACUGCUCCUCGGAUGGUGCCUGAACUGCUGUGCUCUUCCAGCACCACUAAUCCAGAAUCUGGUUUCCAGCAUCUGCAGUCAUUGUUUUUACCUAAUUGCCUUAUGUCUCACACUUGAUUCAGUUUGUGCAUAGAGCAUUGGAUUGAUGUUCAAGGCCGUUCUUUCUUUCCCAUACCCCACCUCCUAACCAGAACCCGUACCAACUUUGCAUAUAGUUGUAAUGACCUGCAAACUGUAGCAGUCCAGGCUUUUGCAUCUAUAUUUGAAGGAGCAGACUGAGUGCCACUGGAACCAUAUUGCAACAGGGAGUAAUGGCAAAUGUCAACAGCAUUCUCAGAGAAUUUUAACAAAAAUGUGUGUCGAAUGAUAAAUUAGAAAGAAAGUAUGGUAGCACUAGAGAUCCCCAGUAUCACUAAUGUCAAUUUCAUUUCACUCCACGUGAUAUCGAGAAACGGUUGGAAGCACUGGAUCCUGCAAGAACUAUAGGCCCUGACAACAUUCUAGCAAUAUUUGUGAGUGGUGG